CAACCUUUAUAUUUUUGUACAGUGCUACGAAAUAAGUUUGCACUAUACAAAUACAAAUAAGAAGUAGGAAAACGGUGCAAUUUGAUAUUUGCAUAGUUGCCAACUGUUUUUUUUUUGCUGUAAAUGUCCUAAUUUUUGGUCUAUUGUCCCAUCAAAGUAGGUCCUGGGAAGAGACCUGUUAUAUUUUCUAAACUCAGUCCUGAAAUUAAUGUUCAGAUUGGUCUAUUUAAUAAUACCAAGAACAACCAGGACUGCAAGACCAAUUGCUGUAUAAUAUAUCCAUUAUAUUGGUGCUACAGUGGGGACAAAAGUGUUAUGCUUCCAAGAUGGCCUCAACUGUUCUAGUUGCGAGUGGGUCCUUGUUUGGGUCUGGAACUCUGGCUCUGAGCCAACCCUCAAUCAAUAGAUCUCCCUGCAGGGCCUUGUUUCUACUCACUUCUCAUUUUCAGACAGUAACCAUAAGCGAACAUUUAUAACUAGGGCUCAAUAACUUUGCUUUGAGGUAAAGAGGAAUAGGUAUUACAAGGCUGGGUAAGAGCACAACAAAAACUAUAUCUGCGUAUUACACCCAGGUCUCACCAGAAUGUGGUCUUAUGCCUGAGUCCACUCCGGAGUCAUUUAUGGGAUCUCCUGCUGCCCUGGUCGUUGUGGAGACAGUAUGGGAAUUCCCCAAUCUUGCAACUUCUGGACUCCAUCCUCCAGGGAUAGAACUGCAUGCAUGGCCCCUUGGUGGUGUAUGAGCAAUUUAGCCGGGUAACCCCAGCGAUAUUAUAUUGGACCCGGGUGUCAAUGUGAUUGGAGCCAGGGACUUCUGAAACUGGAGGGUGUUGGCAGAGAGAUCUGCAAAGAUCUGUAAGGACCCGGGAGAUCACCAUUCUUGCAGGCUUUGGUGAGAUGUUCUUUAACAUGAAAAAAAUGAACAUGCGUAAUCACAUCUCUAGUCGCCGACGGAGGCAGGCAGUGUGCCCUGUCCACCAGUAGCUGAUACUGUCUUUUGGGCGUAAGUGCCUGGAAGAGGUAUGAAGGUAAUUCUUCGUUGGUCACUCUCUCUGGAAUUCCUCUGAUACGAAGGUUAUUCCUCCGUGACCUAUCUUCCAGGUCUGCGAGUUUCAUUUUGUGCGUGUGGAUGAUGGUAUCCAGUUCUUGGAGUUUGUCGGUCACCGAGUUAUGAGCUCCCGCGAACUGAUCCAUCUUCUGCUCAACAUGUGUGGUUCUCUGGCCUAUAUCUUGAAUCUCCUUACUUAAGUCUGCAGCUAAAGUCUGCAUUUGAGAUUUGAUGGAGGCUUGAAUCGUACAUAAUCACUCUCAUGGUGGAGGCAGUAAGAGGGGUCUCAUCAGUUACUGUGCUCGGGGAGUCCGGAGGGGAGGGUGAGUCAUCCCUCGAGUGGGGCUCAGCGACAUCUUGCGCAGUGUCUGGGCCUGUUUUAAGUUUUUGCGCGGAGGCUCUCGCUAGGAAGGAGGCUCAUUCCACCUUACCAGUCUUAUGUUUCUGUCUCUGGGACAUAGUGCUGAUAGUAUUCAAUGAUUCUGUGCACUCGUUCCUCAGGAGCUUUAGCAAUGUGUGUCCAUUCAGAUCAAGUGCUAGGCCAUGCCGCCCUCAUUUCUCAUUGUAAGAGUGCCAUUGUGGUCCCAUGGUGCUUCUUGAUGGCUCAGAGCGCCACAGCCAACUCUCUGAGUUAUUGACUCAGCACUGGUAGCGUGAGGGCACUCUUAAAGUGGUCUGUACCUUAUAUUGGUGCCGACGAUAGAGUUCCCCCACCAGACCACCAGGGAUCAUGAUCACACUCCACUGGACCACCAGGGAAGGUAAGCAGGAAGGGGGAGGGGGAGGACAUACACACACACAUACAUAAUAUUCAACCACACUCAGACUACCCUGCACACAAAGACAACUUUCAACAGCUCAUACUGACACACUCAACCUCCUCUGAUACAGCUCUCACCCUCCUCGGAUACAGCUCUCCCACACACAACACUCAGCCAUCACAAACAUUCUCACACACAACACUUAGUCAACACACACCACUCACAGAAACAGACCUGCAAGGCUGUAGGAAAGGGCCCCAAUCUGGCAUCCUGCCUAGAGCCCUGGGCAAACUUGAUCCAUUCCUGCUGUAUACUUAGCAAAGUUGGCAAGCACAUAAUUGGUAUUAUAACACUGAAAACCUGAUUCUUAAACCGAUGGGCAAGAACCAGGUUACUGUAAUACUAUGAAGUGAACCAGUGUAGGAGGAACCAGUAGCAACGGAACUAGAAGCUACUGCUUCAAAGUACCAGAC